AUUGAACGCUGGCGGCAGGCUUAACACAUGCAAGUCGAGCGGGGUGAUGGUGCUUGCACUAUCACUUAGCGGCGGACGGGUGAGUAAUGCUUAGGAAUCUGCCUAUUAGUGGGGGACAACAUCUCGAAAGGGAUGCUAAUACCGCAUACGUCCUACGGGAGAAAGCAGGGGAUCACUUGUGACCUUGCGCUAAUAGAUGAGCCUAAGUCGGAUUAGCUAGUUGGUGGGGUAAAGGCCUACCAAGGCGACGAUCUGUAGCGGGUCAGAGAGGCAGAUCCGCCACACUGGGACUGAGACACGGCCCAGACUCCUACGGGAGGCAGCAGUGGGGAAUAUUGGACAAUGGGGGGAACCCUGAUCCAGCCAUGCCGCGUGUGUGAAGAAGGCCUUAUGGUUGUAAAGCACUUUAAGCGAGGAGGGGGCUCUUUUGGUUAAUACCCAAGAUGAGUGGGCGUUACUCGCAGAAUAAGCACCGGCUAACUCUGUGCCAGCAGCCGCCGUAA
rnacentral:rRNA from 1 species